CAGCAGCCACGGUAAAACGAGGGGUGCAAGCGUUAUUCGGAUUGAUUGGGUGUAAAGGGUGUGCAGACGGCUUAUUAAGUCACUUGUUAAAUUCUUCGGCCUAACUGAAGGUCUGCAAGUGAUACUGAUGAGCUAGAGGGUGGAAGAGAGAAGUGGAAUUCUCGGAGUAGCGGUAAAAUGCGUAGAUCUCGAGAGGAACACCAAUGGCGAAGGCAGCUUCUUGGUCCAUUCCUGACGUUCAUACACGAAAGCGUGGGGAGCAAACAGGAUUAGAUACCCGCGUAGUCCCUGUCUCUUAUAC
rnacentral:rRNA from 1 species